GUGGGGAAUAUUGGACAAUGGGCGAAAGCCUGAUCCAGCCAUGCCGCGUGUGUGAAGAAGGUCUUCGGAUUGUAAAGCACUUUAAGUUGGGAGGAAGGGCAGUAAGUUAAUACCUUGCUGUUUUGACGUUACCGACAGAAUAAGCACCGGCUAACUUCGUGCCAGCAGCCGCGGUAAUACGAAGGGUGUAAGCGUUAAUCGGAAUUACUGGGCGUAAAGCGCGCGUAGGUGGUUUUGUAAGUUGGAGGUGAAAUCCCCGGGCUCAACCUGGGAACUGCCUCCAAAACUGCAUGACUAGAGUACGGUAGAGGGUAGUGGAAUUUCCUGUGUAGCGGUGAAAUGCGUAGAUAUAGGAAGGAACACCAGUGGCGAAGGCGACUACCUGGACUGAUACUGACACUGAGGUGCGAAAGCGUGGGGAGCAAACAGGAUUAGAUACCCCUGUAGUCC
rnacentral:rRNA from 1 species